GGAAACAAGCACCCAUUUGCGCCCACCCAAAAUUUCCCAAAAUUUUCGUCCCCAAAAACCUGAUACCCAUUAACCCCAAAUUUUCGUCCCCAGAAACCUAAUAUCCAUUAACCCAAAAUGUCAUCUUCUUCAAAUCUUCUUCUCUCAAUUAAGAUUUUUUCAAUCUUCACUCAAAUUUCCUCCAAAACCGAUGGCUAGAUCCCUCUCUCUCUCUAAUCAAAUCCAUCUCCACCCCCGCCACAAGAGUCACCUCCUUCCCCUCAGCCCAUCGUCGCGCCUCGUAUCUCUCUGCACUCAAUCCAACCAAACCGACCUCUCCGACCUUUCCACUUCUUCCGACUCCACCAUCGACCCUUUGCACUCGACUUCAUUAUCGAUGCAAUGUUUUGUUUUAAUUAGCUGUUUGCUUAGUCAUUUGCUCAAGUUCUUUAGCAUUUUGAUGUGUUAUAUUUUGUAUUUUUUAAUGUUUCAAAUGGGUUAACUAUUUUGUGUGCUUGUAGUGUUGGUUGCGCUACUUGGAAUUGGUACCCAGAUGGAUUUCAUAUCACCUAUUAUGAGUGUGGCGGGAGCCAGAAAAGCUUGUCAAAGUCAAUAUGGGUGGUUGAAGGAAUGAUUGGAUAGAUUAGUAGAGCAACUAACGUCGCAACGACAACAACUUGAUGAGGAAUAACUGGUAAAUCAUUCUUUGAAGCUAAUCAAGAAAAUCUGGAUUGUAAAUAAAACGUUGUUGAAGACAAAGAGAUUGCAUUUAGGGCGGAUAAACUUGAGCUCGAAGUAGUAGGGAUGGAAGCAAACAAGAAACUAUGACAACAUUGAAGAUUUUGGGCUAUAGGAAAGAACAAAGGUGUUUGCAAUUUUGUUUCUUGUUUCACUCUUUUGGGAUUGGAAUCCUGAAACUUACUUAGAAGAUUCUGUGGUAGUGGGUAAGUAGGAAUUGUAAUGUCUGACAGUUUUUGUUAAUAAAGAAGUGUAAUUUGAUUUGGAAAA